UUUCUUUUAAGCUUCUAUUAACUGGGAAUUUUCAACUGGCUAUAAUCUGGCCAAAUUGGGUGAAUCUUCAGAGGGUGAAUAAAUGAUGAAUGUAAAUAGCUGCCUUUUUUUCCUGUGUCAGAAUUGCUGCUCCUAAGCAUAAGAACAGUAUCUACUUUUUGGAAAAAGGCAUUGUGAAAACCUCUUCUGGCCUUUGAUCCUGUUCUGCGAAGCUCACAUGUGACCACGUAUAUUUACAGCCUUCACAGCCAGCACUGGUGGGAUCUGUGUCAGGACAUCUGUGAGCUGGAAUGUCUCACCAGUUCAAAUAACUAUUUUAUAGCUACAUGAGAGGCUUUCACUUCUCAGGCACUUACUUCUCUUCAUCCACUGCUCCUCCCUCACAAGUUGAUCGCUUGCUGUCCUCAGCUUGCACAGUAACCCCAGGAAAAUCUUCCCAUGUGUUCCCUAACAGCUGUUGUACUCCACAUUGGGUCUUAGACAGGCUCUGACCUGCGAAUGUCGUUGGAGCUGUGACCCAUCCCUUGUUCAGCUCAGCACAGCUUGCCUAAGUAGAUGUGAGACACUUGGGACCAAAUCCCCAAGAGGGAGCUACAACAUGAGGGAAACGCAAAGCUCAAGAGACAGCAAAGAAAAAUAUCUUGCAGCAGCCUAGUGAAGAAGGACUAUACCUGGGAAGAAGAAAAAAGGGGAAAGCAAGCCUCAGCUUCUUGUACCUUCUUCAGGGUUGGCUUAUGGAUUUUACAUUUAAAAGUCACAGAACAAAAGGCACUAUCAACUGGGUUUAAUUUCCUUUUCUGACUGCAGACCUCUCUCACACCUCCACAUAUCCUGCCUUAAUCACUACUCUGUAGUAAAAGCCAUGAGGAGGCCAUUAAUCCCUUUCCCACACUGACCUGAAAUGGGGCAAAUUUACAGGAAACAAUUAAGGAUUUUUUGUUUUGAAAGACAGCAUGAUUACCUAUAAAACACUGACACGUGCACUGUACGCCACCAGAAAAAAAAAAAGAAAAAAUUGCCUUAAUCAUUGAUGUGUGGCUAGAAGUCUUUUCUAAGGCAAGAGAAAAUAAGAGAGAUCUUUCCCCCUUGAGAAGAGGCUCACACAGUCUUGAACCAUGUACAGCUCUUGAGCAGGUCAACGAGAAUUUGUAGGGGCAUCUUGUUUGUGUAGUUAGUUCUGGUGUCAUGAGUUG